AAUAAACAGAAUAAAAAAAAUUUCCGUGCGAUGGCCGGGAAUCGAACCCGGAUCAACUGCUUGGAAGGCAACUAUGCUGACCAUUACACCACCAUCGCACAUGAUCAAUGUAACAUAAUUUAGUG